rnacentral:rRNA from 1 species
UACGAAGGGGGCUAGCGUUGCUCGGAAUCACUGGGCGUAAAGCGCGCGCAGGUGGUCUUUCAAGUCAGUGGUGAAAGCCCGGAGCUCAACUCCGGAAAUGCCAUUGAAACUGUGAGACUUGAGGACGAGAGAGGUGAGUGGAAUUCCCAGUGUAGAGGUGAAAUUCGUAGAUAUUGGGAAGAACACCGGUGGCGAAGGCGGCUCACUGGCUCGUAUCUGACGCUCAGGCGCGACAGCGUGGGGAUCAAACAGG